rnacentral:lncRNA from 1 species
GAAAAAAAAAGAAAAGAAAAAAAAAGAAGAGUUAAAAAAAAAAAAAAAGAGUAUCGAGAAUUUUUGGUAUUUCCUGACAUUUUUUUAUAAGUACAUCAUUUUCUCGACGAAUAUGAAAUUUUCUAUCUUGGCAUCUCAGCGCUUAACAGUUUAGAAAGUGGAGGCAUUCGAUGCUAGGACGACUCGGGCCAACUGAACUCAGGGAGAAUUUGAUCCUACUCAUUUUAGUGACGCUGUUACUGUAUUUUAGAAUUACAUCAAUACUUCUUUGUGUUGCUAAUAUUUUAACAAUUUAGUCUUAAUCUAUUGGAUUGAAAUUCACGAGCCAACCCCAUUGUUCACUCGUUUACCCCACGUGACUAGACCUAGCAUUUGUACCUUUGCUUUUUUAUUUUAUUGGCAUUAGUAGUAUUAGCUUGCGAUCGGGCUAUACGUAAUCUCCAC